UUGUACUUUGCUUCAACACUGCAGUACUAGAGGCCAAACGAUCCAUAAGAUCCCUUUUUAUUUUCUAUCUUCAUUUUGUAUCCUUAUUAGAUUUACCAACAUCAUUGAUGAAAACACAGCAUAUGACAUUUGGACAAGGUUGGAAAAUCUAUACAUGUCCAAAAUGCUGACAAAUAAAUUGUAUCUGAAGAAGCAGCUAUACACCCUACACAUGGGUUAAGGUGGGUGAUUGUGUAUCUUGCACAGUUGAAACCACUCAUCGUACCAAUCUUGAGUGAAGAGAAUGAGAUGCUUAUGAAAGAAAGCGUCCAUCCAAUCCAUUAUACAAGGAAGAAGUAUUUGAAGGCAUGUUGUAGCUGAAGAUACUGUUGUAUCAAAAUUUCUGUGUACUUGUAGUUGGUGGAAGUAAUUUUAA